rnacentral:rRNA from 1 species
CGAAAGGCUGCUAAUACCGGAUAAGCUCACGGCCCCGCAUGGGGCUGGGAGAAAAGGCGCUAGAGCGAUUGGCGCUGGCAGAGGAGGGGUCCGCGGCCCAUUAGCUAGUUGGUGAGGUAACGGCUCACCAAGGCGACGAUGGGUAGCCGGCCUGAGAGGGCGACCGGCCACACUGGGACUGAGACACGGCCCAGACUCCUACGGGAGGCAGCAGUCGGGAAUUUUGCACAAUGGCCGAAAGGCUGAUGCAGCAACGCCGCGUGAACGAGGAAGGCCUUCGGGUUGUAAAGCUCUGUUGCCUGCGAAGAAGGGCCCUGUCAGGAAAUGGGCAGGGUUUGACGGUAGCAGGCGAGGAAGCCCCGGCUAACUACGUGCCAGCAGCCGCGGUAAUACGUAGGGGGCGAGCGUUGUCCGGAAUUACUGGGCGUAAAGGGCGUGUAGGCGGCCUGUUAAGUCAGGGGUGAAACUCCGGGGCUCAACCCCGGGCGUGCCUCUGAAACUGAUGGGCUUGAGUGCUCUAGAGGGCAGUGGAAUUCCCGGUGUAGCAGUGAAAUGCGUAGAGAUCGGGAGGAACACCAGUGGCGAAGGCGGCUGCCUGGGGAGUAACUGACGCUGAGGCGCGAAAGCUAGGGGGAGCAAACAGGAUUAGAUACCCUGGUAGUCCUAGCCGUAAACGAUGAGUGCUAUGUGUGAGGGGUAUCGACCCCCCUCGUGCAGUAGUUAACGCAAUAAGCACUCCGCCUGGGGAGUACGGCCGCAAGGCUGAAACUCAAAGGAAUUGGCGGGGGCCCGCACAAGCGGUGGAGCAUGUGGUUUAAUUCGAAGCAACGCGAAGAACCUUACCAGGUCUUGACAUCCCUUGACAACCCAAGAGAUUGGGCGUUCCUUCGGGGGACAAGGUGACAGGUGGUGCAUGGUUGUCGUCAGCUCGUGUCGUGAGAUGUUGGGUUAAGUCCCGCAACGAGCGCAACCCUUGACCUUAGUUGCCAGCAUUGAGUUGGGCACUCUAAGGUGACUGCCGAUGACAAAUCGGAGGAAGGUGGGGAUGACGUCAAAUCAUCAUGCCCCUUAUGACCUGGGCUACACACGUGCUACAAUGGGCGGUACAAAGGGUUGCAAACCCGCGAGGGGGAGCCAAUC